UUCUUCUAGAGUCAUCUACUCUAAUCCCUCACACCCAAGUCAAAAUCCACCACUAUGAAAAAGAGCAAGAGAGUUGUGAGCAGCAAGAACAGUGUUGACGACCAUAGCUUCCAAAACAGAGCCGACCCAGAAGCUGGUCUUCUCAGACGAGUACAAAGCCACCAUCUUUGCUGCAGAACCAAGCUCAGAAGCACAACCCACAAUGCAAAAAUCUCAAAGGUGAUAGAUGGUGCGAUCUGGAUUUGAUAAUCUGUGUUUCUUUCUUUUGGUAUUGUAUCCAGUGGUCUGCGCGUUGAGUAAUUGGGCGCAUCGCAAAAGCUUGUUUAGAUUUCGAUUUGGUAGAAUAAAUAUCAACAGAGUUUAAGCUGAUUUCCUUGAAUGUGUUAUGUGCUUUUUCAGUUUUGUGGUUGUUAUAAUCGGUAUUUGUUUCUUUUUGUUUUGUAUUCAGUGUUUUGCAUUUUUAUUAGAACCAGUUUGUGACGAGACAAUUGGGUUGAGAACAAGUAGAACAGGUGUGGUAUUUGAUUGUGUUCAUGUUUCUUUAAUUGAUUAGUUGAUAAUUGUGUGUGUUCUGAGGUUAUCAAGGUCAGUCACUGAGAUCAACACUGAUAAAAUUAUACGGUGAGGAACUAUAGUAUGGUAUGAACUAUCAGAGAAAGAUUCUAACUCAAUACAAUCAGUACAACGCAAUAAAGAUUAAUCUUUUUGUCAAAUACUUAUGAUCAUUUAGUUUACUGAUUUGUAUUUUUCCUUUUGAACAGCUGCCAAUCUCAGAUUUUGCUGAUAAUCCAUAGCGAAAGUAUAUGAUUUGGCAGCAGUCAAGUACUGGGGAACAUCAACUUUUACAUAUUUUCCGGUGUCUAAUUACAAGAAUGAAAUUGAUCUAAUGACCACUCUAACAAAAGGAGGAUACUUGGCCUUUCUAAGAAGAAGAAGCACGGGCUUUUCAAGUGGCGUAUCCAAAUACAGAGAAGUUGCAAGUGUCAUUUCGUAGUAUAAGAGCUUAGAUAAGUAAGGGAAGCUGCAACAUGAUCCGAACCAAGUUAUUUAUAUGGAAUUGAUUUCACUAGCCAUGAAUGAGAAUAGAUAAAGAGAGAUGAGGGGUGCUUUUCCACCAAUUAGAGAACCAUUACGAAAUUCUCUGAAUCUGAUGCAAGGGUUCUCUUUAGCCAUCUGAUUCAGGUAGUUUUAUACUAUCAUGAAAAUGGAAUUCUCCACACAGAUUUGAAGCCUGAGAAUAUUCUGUUGGACAAAAGCCUCUUCAUCUCCCUAUUAAAUUGGCAGACUUUGGUUUUGCAACUUACAUCAGGCCUGGUUAGAGUUGCACGGUUUGGUGGUGAGUCCAUUUUAUAUAGCGCCUAAGGUACUUGCUGGGGGCUAAUGGUUGGAGUGCAUUGGGGUAAUUCUUUACAUUCUUCUUAGCAGAAUACCACCAUUUUGGGGAAAGACAAAGUCAAGCAUAUUUGAUGCUGUUAGGACAGCUGAUCUGAGGUUCCCAUCUGAUCCUCGGAAUGACAUCACUAAAAGGCUCACUGCUCACUAGGUUUUAGGUAGUUUAAGGAAUGAUUGCACUAACAGAGUUUGUUCAAAUGUUGAUCUCAGAUGCUAAAAGCUUGUAGCUGUUAAACACAGUUGAUUUUGUUACUGUUUUCCUUAUUUGGCUUCUGAAAUAAAAUGUUUUAUAAAUGGAUCUAUGUAGUUCAGAACUAUA